UGCCACAGCCAUAUCACACUGCAGCCCAAGACUGGUUACUCACUGAAGCCAAGCAUGGGCAGGGCCUGGUCAGUACCUGGAUGGCCGACCACAUGGGAAAACUAGGUUGCUGUUGGAG
ensembl:rRNA 5S_rRNA 5S ribosomal RNA